GCAGCAGCAAGAAAGGUGUGGGGGCACGAGACCCUCAGGUCCAGAGAGCACUUGGGGGAAUUCCGACUGCAGGAGCUCCGCUUUCGCUGUGACCGGUUCCAGGGGUAGUUUUGGCUCAACAGGGAGCAGACAGUCUGCUGACGAGAGUCGGGCCUACGAUUUCGCGGAUGGGUUAUGAAUGGGUUUUCAUUUCUAAAUAAAAUGUUGCAUGUCAA